rnacentral:rRNA from 1 species
UCCGUAGGGUGAACCUUCGGAAGGAUCAUUACCGAGUGUAGGGUUCCUAGCGAGCCCAACCUCCCACCCGUGUUUACUGUACCUUAGUUGCUUCGGCGGGCCCGCCAUUCAUGGCCGCCGGGGGCUCUCAGCCCCGGGCCCGCGCCCGCCGGAGACACCACGAACUCUGUCUGAUCUAGUGAAGUCUGAGUUGAUUGUAUCGCAAUCAGUUAAAACUUUCAACAAUGGAUCUCUUGGUUCCGGCAUCGAUGAAGAACGCAGCGAAAUGCGAUAACUAGUGUGAAUUGCAGAAUUCCGUGAAUCAUCGAGUCUUUGAACGCACAUUGCGCCCCCUGGUAUUCCGGGGGGCAUGCCUGUCCGAGCGUCAUUGCUGCCCAUCAAGCACGGCUUGUGUGUUGGGUCGUCGUCCCCUCUCCGGGGGGGACGGGCCCCAAAGGCAGCGGCGGCACCGCGUCCGAUCCUCGAGCGUAUGGGGCUUUGUCACCCGCUCUGUAGGCCCGGCCGGCGCUUGCCGAACGCAAAUCAAUCUU